AACAUUUCUGGUGAGUCAGCCAGGAGGCCGUGGAGAGGACAGGUUGGCUGUCUCCUUUGCCUGUAGGUGGUCUGGGGCCCCAGCAGUGGGAGACCUGUAACUUCAGGCACCACUGGAAGAACUUAAGCCCAGAGAAGGAAACGGCUCUUCCACUCCCCAGCGCCCCUCCCCAGAUGGUGCAUCAGAACCUGGAGGGUUGCAGGACAAUCUCAAGAGCAGCAGGCAGACAUCUGAACCGUGGUACAUCUAGUUCUUCUAUUUGUCUACCUAUAGGUGCACUCAUAACAUUUUAAUUUAUUUCAUGUGUUGUCAUCGUUAUCCUCUGUAUUACUCUGAGAAAGAAGAUGUUACCUGUUUGUGAAAAAGAGGGUCACAGAGUAUGUGUGAACCAAUACUUCAUUUGAGACAGCCUCACAUGGAGAAUGCAAUGAGCCAUUCUCUUCUCACAUACAGGUUGAAUAUGACAUUUACUGCAGUUUGAUCACUAAGCAUAAG
rnacentral:lncRNA from 10 species